UGCCAGCCGCCGCGGUAAUACGGAGGGGGCUAGCGUUGUUCGGAAUUGCUGGGCGUAAAGCGCACGUAGGCGGCGUGUAUAGUUAGGGGUGAAAGGCCUGGGCUCAACCUAGGAACUGCCUCUAAUACUGACAUGCUAGAAUUCGGGAGAGGGUAGCGGUAUUCCAAGUGUAGAGGUGAAAUUCGUAGAUAUUUGGAAGAACACCAGUGGCGAAGGCGGCUACCUGGACCGAUAUUGACGCUGAGGUGCGAAAGCGUGGGGAGCGAACAGGAUUAGAUA
rnacentral:rRNA from 1 species